rnacentral:rRNA from 1 species
GACAGAGGUGCCGAGCGUUAGGCGGAAUCACUGGGCUUAAAGCGUGUGUAGGCGGACCGUUAAGUACCUUGUGAAAUCCCCCGGCUCAACCGGGGAACGGCUGGGUAUACUGGCGGUCUUGAGCCAUCCAGGGGCAGUCGGAACAGACGGUGGAGCGGUGAAAUGCGCAGAUAUCAUUUGGAACGCCAAUGGUGAAAACAGGUCGCUGGGAGUGUGCUGACGCUGAGACACGAAAGCCAGGGGAGCAAACGGG